GCUACUAUAGUAUAGUAGUAGUAUAGCUAGGCAAAGGUAUAUAGUAUCCGCGCUAAGGCCUUAAUGCCUUUAGUAAUAGCGAUAAUACUUUGUAUACUAGUAGUCGUAGGUUCGAAUCCUACUAGAGGCG
rnacentral:tRNA from 1 species